UACGUAGGGGGCUAGCGUUGUCCGGAAUCAUUUGGGCGUAAAGCGCGUGUAGGCGGCCCGGUAAGUCCGCUGUAAAAGUCGGGGGGCUCAACCCUCGAAAGCCGGUGGAUACUGUCGGGCUAGAGUACGGAAGAGGCGAGUGGAAUUCCUGGUGUAGCGGUGAAAAUGCGCAGAUAUCAGGAGGAACACCGAUUGCGAAGGCAGC
rnacentral:rRNA from 1 species